GACGAACGCUGGCGGCGUGCUUAACACAUGCAAGUCGAACGGAAAGGCCCUGCUUUUGUGGGGUGCUCGAGUGGCGAACGGGUGAGUAACACGUGAGUAACCUGCCCUUGACUUUGGGAUAACUUCAGGAAACUGGGGCUAAUACCGGAUAGAAGCUCCGGCUGCAUGGGGGGGGUUGGAAGGUUUCGGCGGUUGGGGAUGGACUCGCGGCUUAUCAGCUUGUUGGUGGGGUAGUGGCUUACCAAGGCUUUGACGGGUAGCCGGCCUGAGAGGGUGACCGGCCACAUUGGGACUGAGAUACGGCCCAGACUCCUACGGGAGGCAGCAGUGGGGAAUAUUGCACAAUGGGCGGAAGCCUGAUGCAGCAACGCCGCGUGCGGGAUGACGGCCUUCGGGUUGUAAACCGCUUUCGCCUGUGACGAAGCGUGAGUGACGGUAAUGGGUAAAGAAGCACCGGCUAACUACGUG
rnacentral:rRNA from 1 species